rnacentral:rRNA from 1 species
UACGUAGGGCGCAAGCGUUGUCCGGAUUUACUGGGUUUAAAGGGUGUGUAGGCGGUUUGAUAAGUCGGCGAUGAAAUGUCAGGGCUUAACCUUGGCGCUGUUGCCGAUACUGUUAGACUCGAGAGUGGAUGAGGGGGCUGGAAUGAGCGGUGUAGCGGUGAAAUGCGUAGAUAUCGCUCAGAACACCGAUUGCGAAGGCAGGUCCCUGGGCCACAUCUGACGCUGAGGCACGAAAGCGUGGGGAUCAAACAGG